rnacentral:rRNA from 1 species
UACGUAGGGGGCGAGCGUUGUCCGGAAUGACUGGGCGUAAAGGGUGUGUAGGCGGUUUAUUAAGUUAGAAGUGAAAUACCUAGGGCUUAACCCAGGUGCUGCUUCUAAAACUGAUAGACUUGAGUGCAGUAGAGGCAAGCGGAAUUCCUAGUGUAGCGGUGAAAUGCGUAGAUAUUAGGAGGAACACCAGUGGCGAAGGCGGCUUGCUGGGCUUUUACUGACGCUGAGGCUCGAAAGCGUGGGGAGCAAACAGG